UACGUAGGGGGCAAGCGUUGUCCGGAUUUAUUGGGCGUAAAGAGCGUGUAGGCGGCUAGGUAGGUCCGUUGUGAAAACUCGAGGCUCAACCUCGAGACGCCGAUGGAAACCAUCUAGCUAGAGUCCGGAAGAGGAGAGUGGAAUUCCUGGUGUAGCGGUGAAAUGCGCAGAUAUCAGGAAGAACACCCGUGGCUAAGGCGGCUCUCUAGUACGGUACUGACGCUGAGACGCGAAAAGCGUGGGGAGCGAACAGG
rnacentral:rRNA from 1 species